AUUGAACGCUGGCGGCAGGCCUAACACAUGCAAGUCGAACGAGUGGCGGACGGGUGAGUAAUGUCUGGGAAACUGCACGAUGGAGGGGGAUAACGACUGGAAACAGUAGCUAAUACCGCAUAACAGCGGAUGUGCCCAGAUGGGAUUAGCGAGUAGGUGGGGUAAAGGCUCACCUAGGCGACGAUCCCUAGCUGGUAUGAGAGGAUGACCAUCCACACUGGAACGUAGACACGGUCCAGACUCCUACGGGAGGCAGCAGUGGUGAAUAUUGCACAAUGGGCGCAAGCCUGAUGCAGCCAUGCCGCGUGUAUGAAGACGGCCUUCGGGUUGUAAAGUACUUUCAGCGAGGAGGCGGUACUCGCAGAAGAAGCACCGGCUAACUCCGUGCCAGCCGCCGCGGUAAUAG
rnacentral:rRNA from 1 species